rnacentral:lncRNA from 1 species
UGUUUUGUUAAUAUGGGUAAGGACACAUAAACAUACAUCUUUUAGAAAAGAGUAAUAUAUUUUUGCUAUAAGUUAUGCAUUAUACAGAAAUGCUAACAAGAGCAAAACCAUGUAUUACUUAAUACCCACUCUAGAAUAUAAAGCCCAUUACGAGAAUAAAUAUGAACAAAUGUAGGGAAGAAUGCCCAAAGGCAGCGGCUCGCUUAAAUGAGAAAAGUGAAACGUCCAUCGUUGACGAGGAGACCCUCACCGAAAACCAUACUUGCAAAACC